rnacentral:misc_RNA from 1 species
CUUCAAGAAAUGAUAAGAGGUGGCUCUCCUGUUAUUUAUGACAAGGACAAGAAGUCUCGUUUUGGAAUUCUUGCAAAGAAUGCUAGUGAUGCUAAGGAUAUUAUCUGGGUGGAAUCACCGGACACUUUCUGCUUCCAUUUAUGGAAUGCAUGGGAGGAGCCGGAAUCCGAUGAAGUAGUGGUAAUCGGAUCUUGCAUGACUCCACCGGACUCCAUCUUCAACGAAAGCGACGAGAGUUUAGAGAGCGUAUUAUCAGAAAUCAGGCUCAAUUUGAAGACGGGUAAGUCCACGCGCCGCCCCAUAAUUAAAGAAUCAAACCAAGUGAAUUUAGAGGCC